GACGAGCCACCCGAACGUUAUUCGGAAUUACUGGGCUUAAAGGGUGCGUAGGCGGUUUGACAAGUCUGAUGUGAAAUCUAUGGGCUCAACCCAUAGUCUGCAUCGGAAACUGUCGGGCUUGAGUAUGGGAGAGGUGAGUGGAAUUUCCGGUGUAGCGGUGAAAUGCGUAGAUAUCGGAAGGAACACCUGUGGCGAAAGCGGCUCACUGGACCAUUACUGACGCUGAGGCACGAAAGCUAGGGGAGCAAACAGG
rnacentral:rRNA from 1 species